UUAUACAGCGAAACUGCGAAUGGCUCAUUAAAUCAGUUAUCGUCUAUUUGAUAGUACCUUACUACUUGGAUAACCGUGGUAAUUCUAGAGCUAAUACAUGCUGAAAACCCCGACUUCGGAAGGGCUGUAUUUAUUAGAUUAAAAACCAAUGCCCUCCGGGGCUCACUGGUGAUUCAUAAUAACUGCUCGAAUCGCACGGCCUUGCGCCGGCGAUGGUUCAUUCAAAUCUCUGCCCUAUCAACUUUCGACGGCUGGGUCUUGGCCAGCCAUGGUGACAACGGGUAACGGAGGGUUAGGGCUCGACCCCGGAGAAGGAGCCUGAGAAACGGCUACUACAUCCAAGGAAGGCAGCAGGCGCGCAAAUUACCCAAUCCCGACUCGGGGAGGUAGUGACAAUAAAUACUGAUACAGGGCUCUUUUGGGUCUUGUAAUUGGAAUGAGUACAAUUUAAUUCCCUUAACGAGGAACAAUUGGAGGGCAAGUCUGGUGCCAGCAGCCGCGGUAAUUCCAGCGCCAAUAGCGUAUAUUAAAGUUGUUGCAGUUAAAAAGCUGGUAGUUGACCUUGGGCCUGGCUGCCGGUCCGCCUCACCGCGUGCAUUGGUUCGGCCGGGCCUUUCCCUCUGGGAAGCCGCAUGCCCUUCACUGGGCGUGUCGGGGACCCAGGACUUUUACUUUGAAAAAAUUAGAGUGUUCAAAGCAGGCUUAUGCUCGGAUACAUUAGCAUGGAAUAAUAGAAUAGGACGUGCGGUUCUAUUUUGUUGGUUUCUAGGCCGCCGUAAUGAUUAAUAGGACAGUCGGGGGCAUCAGUAUUCAGUUGUCAGAGGUGAAA
rnacentral:rRNA from 1 species